GAUAAACGCUGGCGGCGUGCCUUACGCAUGCAAGUCGAACGAAGCCUUGCCCUUCGGGGCAAGUGACUGAGUGGCAAACGGCUGAGUAACACGUAGGCGACCUACCCCGGGGUGGGGGAUAACCCGGUGAAAGCCGGGCUAAUACCGCAUACAGCCACCGGUUCGGACCGGUGGGCAAAACUCCGGUGCCCUGGGAGGGGCCUGCGUCCGAUUAGCUAGUUGGUGGGGGUAACAGCUCACCAAGGCGACGAUCGGUAGCUGGUCUGAGAGGAUGGUCAGCCACACUGGGACUGAGAUACGGCCCAGACUCCUACGGGAGGCAGCAGUCGAGAGGCUUCGGCAAUGGGGGGAAACCCUGACCGAGCGACGCCGCGUGGAGGAUGAAGGCUUUCGGGUCGUAAACUCCUUUCAGUGGGGACGAACAUUUGUCGGGCUAAUACCCCGGCGAUUUGACGGUACCCACAGAAGAAGCGCCGGCUAACUCCGUG
rnacentral:rRNA from 1 species